UGGGGAAUAUUGCACAAUGGGCGCAAGCCUGAUGCAGCCAUGCCGCGUGUGUGAAGAAGGCCUUCGGGUUGUAAAGCACUUUCAGCGGGGAGGAAGGCGGUGAGGUUAAUAACCUCAUCGAUUGACGUUACCCGCAGAAGAAGCACCGGCUAACUCCGUGCCAGCAGCCGCGGUAAUACGGAGGGUGCAAGCGUUAAUCGGAAUUACUGGGCGUAAAGCGCACGCAGGCGGUCUGUCAAGUCGGAUGUGAAAUCCCCGGGCUCAACCUGGGAACUGCAUUCGAAACUGGCAGGCUAGAGUCUUGUAGAGGGGGGUAGAAUUCCAUGUGUAGCGGUGAAAUGCGUAGAGAUCUGGAGGAAUACCGGUGGCGAAGGCGGCCCCCUGGACAAAGACUGACGCUCAGGUGCGAAAGCGUGGGGAGCAAACAGG
rnacentral:rRNA from 1 species